AAGCCCUUUAGAAGAAUACAAGCAGCUCGUGUUGGAAGACGUGUUUGAUGGAGUGGGCCAAGUUGUGCUCGCUCCUGCCACCAGUAUCACUGCGGGAGGAGACUCUCUGGGCAGUUAUCAGGACAACACUAUGAAAUCCAUCCGCGCUGGUGUGCGAGAGGUACUAAGCGCGCCUCAGCGGAACGUCCCAACGCUGCAGUUUCAUCAACAUCCACAUCUCCACUGAAAUUCGUGGGAGCGCGUGCAGCUCCCGUUGGCUCAGAAGAGUAGACGUCCUUUGUUUGGUGACGUUGAGACCCCUGCCCUGCCAGAACUCCUCCCGUCUGUGCGCAGACGUCUGAAGCGAAGACUCCCAGAAGCGUGGAAGUUCUUCGUUCGGUGGCGUCCGUGCCCCCCUGCUCCUGUCAGAACUACUGGAGUCUGCGCGCGGCCAUCUGCUGAAGUGGGGACUCCCAGAAGCGCGGAAGCUCUUCGUUCGGUGGCGCCCGUGUCCCCCUGCUCCCCUCAGGACCACUGGCGUCUGCGCGCGGACAUCUGAUGAAGUGGGGACUCCCAGACGCUGGCGCGAUGGCAGUCUGAAUGGUGAGCCUGAAACGUUUGUUGGCUGUUGGGUUUAGCUGUCACUCGGCGCCGCGAAUUUGCUCAAACAAUUUGUUGUGUAAACGGGGGUCAGUGUGGUUUACACAGACUUUCAACACUCGUGUUCGUCUAUCGUCAUUUUCAUUACGUUCUUGUCAACCAAUGAGUCGCCUAGCUUGACGUGAUGUUUUGUUGGCAUGUCACUGAUGCAUUCACAGUGCUGGGAGGUUUACCGCGAAAAGUUUGCUGGCGAUGUUUCCUUUUUGGGUCGCGUCAGGCGUAUGAGUGUCGACUUCGGCCAUUAUCUUGCAUCACGUUAGCGCGUAUCCACACAUCAGCACGUGUCUGCUCGGGGUGGGAGAUGACGAUGAUAAACGGUAGAGUCCAAAACAAGUCGCAUGACCUUGCAUGAGUUCACGUGUAUUGCGUAAAACAUAUCGCAUCACCGCCCGCUUUCGUUUUUUGCGAAAUAAACGAGACACACAA